rnacentral:rRNA from 1 species
UACGUAGGGUGCAAGCGUUUGUCCGGAAUUAUUGGGCGUAAAGAGCUCGUAGGCGGUUUGUUGCGUCGGCUGUGAAAUCCCGAGGCUCAACCUCGGGUCUGCAGUCGAUACGAGCAAACUAGAGUGUUGCAGGGGAGACUGGAAUUCCUGGUGUAGCGGUGAAAUGCGCAGAUAUCAGGAGGAACACCGGUGGCGAAAGGCGGGGUCUCUUGGGGCCCGAUACUGACGCUGAGGAGCGAAAAGCGUGGGGAGCAAACAGG